AGAGUUUGAUCCUGGCUCAGAACGAACGCUGGCGGCAGGCCUAACACAUGCAAGUCGAACGAUGCCUUCGGGCAUAGUGGCGCACGGGUGAGUAACACGUGGGAACAUACCUUUUGGUGGGGGAUAACUUCGGGAAACUGAAGCUAAUACCGCAUACGCCCCUUGGGGGAAAGAUUUAUCGCCGAAAGAUUGGCCCGCGUCCGAUUAGCUAGUUGGUGAGGUAAUGGCUCACCAAGGCUCCGAUCGGUAGCUGGUCUGAGAGGAUGACCAGCCACACUGGGACUGAGACACGGCCCAGACUCCUACGGGAGGCAGCAGUGGGGAAUAUUGGACAAUGGGCGCAAGCCUGAUCCAGCCAUGCCGCGUGAGUGAUGAAGGCCUUAGGGUUGUAAAGCUCUUUCACCCACGACGAUGAUGACGGUAGUG
rnacentral:rRNA from 1 species